rnacentral:rRNA from 1 species
CUCCUACGGGAGGCAGCAGUCGGGAAUUUUGCUCAAUGGGCGCAAGCCUGAAGCAGCAACGCCGCGUGAGGGAUGAAGGCCUUCGGGUUGUAAACCUCUUUUAUCAGGGACGAUUAUGACGGUACCUGAUGAAUAAGCCACUGUUAACUACGUGCCAGCAGCCGCGGUAAUACGUAGGUGGCAAGCGUUGUCCGGAUUUACUGGGCGUAAAGAGCGCGCAGGCGGUCAAGUAAGUCGAAUGUGAAAGCCCCCGGCUCAACUGGGGAGGGUCAUUCGAUACUGCUCGACUCGAAGGUAGGAGAGAGAAGCAGAAUUCCCGGUGUAGUGGUGAAAUGCGUAGAUAUCGGGAGGAAUACCAGUGGCGAAGGCGGUUCUUGGCCUAUUCUUGACGCUGAGGCGCGAAAGCUGGGGGAGCAAACGGGAUUAGAUACCCCGGUAGUCCCAGCCGUAAACGAUGGACACUAGGUGUUGGUGGUAUCAACCCCGCCAGU